rnacentral:rRNA from 1 species
CUUGAAACACGGACCAAGGAGUCUAACAUGUGCGCGAGUUGAAGGGUGGCAAACCCAUGGGCACAAUGAAAGUGAAGCUGGCUUUGUGUCAGUGAUACAGGAUCUGUUGGUUCUUUGUAGCUAGCAGAGCACUGUAGUCCCUUCCAAAUUGCUUGCCAAUUGGGAGGAGACAGAGCGUACACGUUGGGACCCGAAAGAUGGUGAACUAUGCAUGAGCAGGGCGAAGUCAGAGGAAACUCUGAUGGAGGCUCGAGGCGGUUCUGACGUGCAAAUCGAUCGUCAGACUUGUGUAUAGGGGCGAAAGACUAAUCGAACCAUCUAGUAGCUGGUUCUCGA